UUGAAGAUGCUAUUGAGCAGGCCAUCCAAUGGCUUGAUGGGAACCCGCUCGCAGAGGCAGAUGAGUUUGAAGAUAAGAUGAAAGAGCUUGAGGGCAUCUAUAAUGCCAAUAUGUACCAGGGAGUUGAUCUAUGGAUGAGGAUGGUCCUUCUGCUGGUGCUGGUAAUGGUAUGGCCCAAAGUUUGAGGCGGUGGAGGUGAUGCUAGUGCAUCCGUGGAUGAGGAAUGUCUUUCUGCUGGUGCUGGUAGCGGUGUUGCCCCUAAGAUUGAUGAUCUGAUCAUUUUUUCCUUUUCUUGCUUCUAUUACAUGUGAUAUUGUUCGGUUGUGUUAGCAUAAGAUAUUGUUAUGCUUUUAAGUAAUGUCCUGUUUUUCCUUCGAUCAGUUUUAUCUAGUUUUGUGAUCUUUCUGCUUGUGCAUCGCUAGAAAAGUAUAGAAUGCGAUGAACUGGAUUAAAAAAAAAAAGGAAUGCCCAAACUAUAAAGCUAGCUGUUCAUAACAAGCUGUUCUAAUUUGUUGAUAUUAUUUUGAUGAACGCAAAUUGGUCGGGGAAGUGAUGACCAUUUCAAUCAUUGGUUUUUCUGGAUCCAAGUUUAACGAGGGUCCUAAGGUCGUAUGAUAUAGUGAUAUACAUGCAAGAAAUAUUUAAUGUAAUUGACAUUCAAGAGUACGGUAACUACCUAUACGGUAACCGCAUGGUACCGCUUCCUAAAAAAUUUGCAUCUACGUAGCUCACGUUUCUCCUCAAGAGGAUAUGCGAAGGCUGCAAUAAACUAUGCCUUGGAAGUCAGAAACUUGUCAUUGAAUUAGACGGGGUUAUUUUCAUGCAUCCCUAAAAGUAUACCUUUUAGAAAUUGUGACAACAUUCGUAAAUGAUUGCAAUAAAUAAUGAUUAAUGAGAACUUUACAACCGAUUGCUACAAUAAUUUAAUAAGGUAAAUUACUUAAAUGCAUACAAUAAAUGAUCAAAGCGAUAUUAAUAUAACUGAAUCAUCUGUAACUAGUGGUUCUAGGAGAAGUUGGAGAUGACCAAUUUGAUUGAUUUACGGGGUUAUAUCAAUUUUUUUCCCCAGCAAAGACAACGAUGAUGGCGUGGCAGGGGAAUAGAUGAGACCUUUAAUUGUAAUAGACCAUCAAAUAGUAAAUAAAUAUAGAAGGGUACAUAAACCAAAAACGUCUAAAUUCAAGAGAAAUAACAAAGUCAUAACAAUGCACCAAAGAAUGAGAAUUAACGUCAAACUAGCAAAAAAUAAAAGAAAAAAAAUUAUCUGCUGACACGAGGGGCCUCCUAUACAUCUAGAUAAAUGUACCAGACAAACCAAUAGAUGAAUGAAUGAUACCUGAAUAUUCAUAAAAUGUUGACGCACCCAUUAAGUACAAGCCUAAUUAGCCAUGAAAUUAGCUGUAAAGGGAGCCUCGCCAAAAACAUGCCUGACAAACAUAGAGGGAGAAGUAGACAUAAGCCAGACUCGACUAAGAAGAUAAAUAUAUUCCCACUGCACAGAGCCGUGAGAAGAAAUACAGGAAACCAUAGUUGCCGAAUCAGAUAUCUAAAUAGCAGAUUAGUAAGCUAAGUAACAAGCCAUGAACCCUCGCAAACAACCAUCAACUUAGUAUAAAAUACAGGUUAGUGCCCAAGAAAAGAGAUUAAAGCUACUAAAACAAGACCCUGAUAGUCACACAAAACACCAUGAACUACAGACAGCCGAGGAUUGCCUCGAGUGCGUCCAUCCACCAAAAGCGUUGCCACCCCAAAUGACGGCUGCAACCAGGAUCCAACCUAAACAACCUUAGAAUCAGUGCAAUAACUUUCAAUUCUUCCAGAAACUGAGAGCCUAAUACCCCUUGCAACUAGGAAGGUUUAAAACCUAAGGCAGAACUAGCAAGCCUAAAGUUAGAAAUCGCCCUAGGAACAACAACAUCUAAAGAAAAUGACAUAGAAUCGAACCUGAAAGAAAGAAUUAUUACCCUUCCAAACAUGCCACAAAAUGAAGUAUGGAAAAAGAACUCAAAUAUAUCUUCGAGUUGGGGUACACCGUCGCCAAUGAACAAGUAAGGCAUAAGGAGUCAGAAAAAAACUGACCUUAAACCAUAUAUAAUGAAAAUAGAGCCAAACAUAUCUAAGUCGUGGGCAAUUAAGAAGCAGAUCCCUAGAAGUCUCAAUAGCCUGAGCACAAAAAUACCGAGAAAUCAUAUAAAAACCCUUCGAGCAUAAAGCGUCAUUAGUUGCCAAAAAAUAAUAUGAUAGCUGCUAAAGAAAAAAGAAAAACCGAAAAGGAAUAUGCGACUGCAAGAUAAGGGGAAAAACCACAUCCUAGGCCUAGAGCCACGCACAAGCUCCCAAGCAAUUUGCAACUAGAAAUCACCAUCACGAGCCAAAUCCUACCAAAUCAGAUCUGAACCCACUCUAAAGAUAAGAACCAAUAUAAUCUGUUCAACAACCAAGAAGGCAAAAUAUUCUAAAGCUUUCCCCUAUCCUAGACAGUACCCCUCCAAUAAAGGAAAUCGUCAUCGGGGAUGUUGCACUAGAAUUAUACAAAAACAAGGGGUAAGAAUGCAAUUAGCAAUCAUACAAAAAAACUAUAGGCCGCCCAAUUAAUCAUCCAACACGCAUGGGGGCUUAGUUGCACAACGAAUAGAGUGAAGGACGUCUCAGAAAAGGAAAAGAAAAGUAAUGAAAUUAAACCAUACCCAGAUGUUCUGCUCUAUUAUAUUUAGCGUUCAUAAAUGAAGCCUAUAAAGAACAUUGAUCCCAAAAGCGCCACAAAAGCUUUAGCUAAAAAGCCUCAGCCAAAUCAGCAAACAAUCAAAAACCUAGAUCACCUUCUUUAACUAGACAACGAACCAAGGCCAUCUACACCAAUGAAUCUUCCUUCAAAUAUCAGUAUCAACUCAUAGAAAAACGAGUGAAAAGCCUUCCUAGAUGCUGAAUAAUAGUCACAGGUGGCCGAAGAACAUGAAAUAAGUGCAAAGGAUAUAGGAUAACAUAUGUUGAAGAAGCACUAGAUUCCCACCAAGGGAAAGCAGCCGAUUAUUCCAACCCAAAAUCCUAUAUUCCUAACCUUUCGAAUCAUAUCAUCAAAUAGGAAAUCUUAAGAUGUCCCAUAUAAACUGAGCAUGCAAGAUAAAUAAAUGAAAACUGACGCUGUUGAAAACUGGUAAUUAAAUGAACAAUGGCGUGGCAAGAAGAAGAAAGGUUUAUAUCAAUUUCAUGCCAUAGUAUCAUGCAUGAUUUAAAAUCUAAUUAGAUUGAUUAUUUAAUGAAUUACCAACUUUAAACAUGAUUUUAAAUUUUAGGGGAGGAUUGGCAAACACUCAAUGGGAAGAAGACAAUUUAAGGGAUUGGCAGGUCAUAUCCACCCGCACCAAACAAAAGUUAUGUAACUUAUUUUGUUCGUCAAUAGAAGUUGCUUCAAUGUUCAUCCGAGCUUGUCAUCUAAUUAGUAGCACGCAUGAAUUAAUAUAUUAAUGAGAUUUUUUUUUUUUUUUGUCUACUAUUCCAUGAAGUCACAGUUCAAUAAAGAAAUGUAUUUAGCAGAAUCAACAGAAAAUGAGAUCUUAUAUUUAGCUCGACUCUUGUUUUAUUCUGGCUUUUGAACUAGUUUUGUUUUUAUGCGAGUUUAACGACAUUUUACUACUAAAACAUCAAUUAUAAUGGUUUAGACUUUGUAUUAUAUAUCUUACAAUUUUAGACGGUUUUAAAUCAUUUAAUAGCGAACUGGUAAAUUAUUGUUUGCAUGAAUAGAGAUUCAAGUCUCAUGUUAUAUUAGAAAAGAAUUAAACUUUUAUUUUAGAUGUAUAUUCAAAAUUUUUUAUUUUAUUUAUUUUUUCUAAAAAUUAGUAAAAUAUAAAUUCUUCAAAUGAAACUUCUUGAAAAAAAAACAACCUGUCAAACUUUUAGAGACUAUUUCAAAUAUUUAAAAGUUGAUAAUAGUAGCUUGCCGUAAGAUCGAUCUGUUACGAAAGAAAACCCUGAAAUAAAUACAAAGCGUGUUUAAUUUGUUAUUGAUUUUCUUUUCAGAUAAACAAAAAACAAAUAAAUAAAAUAACACUGAAAUAUGUAUGAAUUGAGCUCCUUGAGUUGUGCUUUAGUUAAAAUUGAUAUAAUUUAUUUAUUGCUAAAUCCUAAUAGAGAAAGUAGGAACAGUCUUCUUAAUUCCAGAGCCAUCCAUAUCUCUACAUUGCGAUUGCUUAAUUAGAAAGAGAAAAGGUCAAAAAAGAAAAGAAAAAUGAAACCACUAAUUAAGAGAAUUCGAAUAUCCAUGUUAUUACAAUUUUAACAUCACUUUUGAUUUAGAUUUUCAGUCAGUUCUCUCACAUCCUCGGCCAGAGAAAAAAAUCAAAGAAGGGUUGAUGAGCAGAACCCUUUUCAAUGCGAGGAGUUACUGAAUUCUCAAGAGAAUUUGAAGGCAGCAAAGGAAAGAGAGGCAAAGUUUCUUGAUUACUGAUGUCCGAGUUGUUGAUGUUACUAGUUUGCAUCAAAACAUUGCACUGCGGUUGCUCAGGAUCAUAACCUGCACCCACAUAACUAGUUGUGUUGUCCAUUUCCUGAUCAGUUUUUGCUCUCCUCUUUGGCCCACCAGGGAUCCGGGAUUGACACCUUGGUGCAUUAUGGAUAGAACCCUAAAUCAUUCCUUGGUAAGUAAUAUGGCCCACAUACUACUGAAAAUGAAAAAGGACAAAUCCCACGUACGUUGGACUCUUUAGUUUUACGAAGUGAUCAAAUAAAAUGUUGAAGGGCAAAGAGAAGGAGAUUGAAAGAAUUAGGCAGCAAAUCAAUUGGAUGGAGACGAGGCCUAGCAGUGAAAAAUGCAAAAACAAAAUGCUUCACGCAAUCAAACGGCUAAAACAAUAUCUUAAAUACGUUACUAGAAAACGACCACUAGAUAAGAGCCACUUUAUGUUUAGUCUUCAACACAAGAAUCGAACCCAUUUGCACCGUUUGUGGAAGAAGGAAACAAGAGGAGCAGGCUGAUGAGUGGACUUGUGAAGGUAACGAUUGAU
rnacentral:lncRNA from 1 species